GCGUACUGCCCCUUUAAGUCCAUUGGCAUGAGUUCACGUGGGAUUUGGAGCUGCAGAGCGGGACCUAGUGGCUACUAACACGACACAGUGUUAGCGGUUAGCAUCGGAACAGCGUUAGGGAAAUACCUGUUCAGCGGGUCAGCGUAAGUGUUCUCACAUUAAUAAACCUGACUCACCAUGUAAAUUGUGAUUGAUGGACUGUUACUGAGUGUAUGUUCUUGGGUUGUGCACCUCUGCUUCGUUUAGAGGGGAGUAACAAGCUGCUGUGGGUUGAGGUCGCACGUGCAUGGAGCCGUGCGCGCCGGCGCUUGAGUGAGUUUAUUGUUUUCGGGACUUUUUGGAGGAACGACAAUGGUGUGGGAUUUGAACAGCAUGAGACCGAUGUGCAUGUUCUUUUGUUUCUGUUUAACAGGAAGGGGUCACUACUGUUGUUUUUUAUGUAACUGUUAGCUUCAUGUAAUUUCUAGCUUAAGGUAAUUGUAGCUCUAUUCCAUGACAUCCUGUUAGUUAGUGAAGCGAAGCAAUUGGUUAUUUGUACACUGUUCCAAGUGCCUCCUUAAUUUGACACAUUAAGGCUGUGCUCCAGGAGUGCAGUCGGGGGAAAUAAAGAACCCACAUUAAAGAGAAAUAAAUUUAUCUUAGUGUCCUGUCAUCAUUUUAAUCAGGCUACACUAAUUUUGGUGUCAGAAGUGGGAUCGGACAGGGACAGGGAUAAUACAUAUAAAAACAACAGUAGUGGCUAAGGAGCCUCCAGAUCCAGGAUCAGAGUGGGUGACUACUGGUGAGGGGUCCCAGAAGCAGCAGGGUGACCAGUGCUCCUCGACGAGGGAGACUGCAUCGUUGCUGUAGACUGCGGGAAGAGAGGACCAUCGGGAUUCACCUUUUUGGGAGGCUGCUGGAGUGAGAAACGUCACAACUGUCAUCUUGCUGUAGUGAGGACACAGAAGGGGACACGUUGAAAUGUCGGACGAGGAAGAGAGGGCAGCUGCUCCAACGGCCGGGUCCAGCCGCCAUGAGGACAAUCUGGCUGCCUCCAUGGGAGACCAGGGAGGUAACCUUGUGGUACAACUGCAGGCACAGAUUUUGGAACUGGGAAAAAAACAUGAUGCUGUAAUGUCAAGUAUUGCCAACCUUGGUGAUGCCCAACCGAGGUCCAUUGUUUACAUUCCGAGAGAAAAACAAAUUGUGCCUUUUAGUGGUGAACCAGGGAAAGACGUUCACACUGUUGAUGAGUUCAUAGAGGAGGUAGAGCGUACGAUGAGAGCAAGGGGCCUACAGGGGGAGGAGCAGGUGGAUUUCAUUUUCUCGCAGUUAAAGGGGUCAGCUCUGGAGGAGGUUAAGUUACGUGUGGGUGGACAGGUUAAGCAAUCCAGUGAUCUGUUUUCAUACCUGAGGGAGGCAUUCAGAGAGAGACGUACUACACCACAACUCUUGCAUGCUUUCUAUGCGCGCAGGCAGUUAGACGGGGAAGACUAGCGGGAUUUUUCACACGCGCUCUCACAUCUGCUUAAUUCUGCUCUUCAACAGUCCCCCAACGCUGUAGUUGAUGUACAGUUAGCACUUAGAGACCAGUUAAUUGAAGGGGUACGUGACUCCACCCUUCGACGUGAGUUGCGUCGGCUUAUUAGGGAGAAGCCUGGCCUAAGCCUGUUUGAUGUGCGAGAAGAGGCAAUGAUGUGGACACUUGAAGACCGGCCUCACAGUACUAAUGUGGUGAGGAGCCGAAAUCUUGGGGCCGGCGACCCAGACGAGGUUGCAGCAGGGACAGAUAUGGCCGAUAAGGCACAGACGGACCUAACCACCCCUUUGCAGGACGUAGUUAAAAUAAUUGCGCAGCAGGGUAAAGCAAUAAGUGAGCUAACCAAUGCAGUCCGUGAUCUCACAAUCCACCAUGCUAGUUCAGAGAGGGGAACCAAGGAGGUUUCGAUUUAAAAUCAAGCCAAAGUAUAUAGAUGAUGGACAGCCGAUUUGUCUGCGAUGUGAGGGGGUUAGGCACAUGGCGAGACACUGCAAUCGACAACGUGACGCAGGAGGAUCUUCUAACCUUCACCCCAAUCCUGCGGUUCAGGGAAACAGGAACCCUCCAUUGCUAUGAGCUGCGCAAUGCGAGGCAAGUCGAAAGGCUCACAGGAUAUCCUCACCAAAGAACGGUUUCUACAACGUGCUGUAGGCAAGUGCCCGGAGGUAGACAUCCAGAUUGGUGGUGUUCCGCUUAGGUGCCUACUGGACACAGGUAGCAAUGUAAGCACUUUGACAGAAAACUUCUUCAGAGAUCACCUGCAUGGGGAAGAUGAAGACAUGCAUUGUACAGCUAAAUGGCUUAAGAUCACAGCAGCCAAUCAGUUACCUCUUCCCUAUUUAGGCUAUGUUGAGUUAGAUGUACAGGUGAUGGGGAUUCAACAUUCCAGAGUGUGGGUUCUUAAUAAUGGGAAACGAUAAUACCAAGCGAGCAGAUCCAUCUCCACCUGGCAUUAUUGGGAUGAAUAUCGCAAAAAGGUGUCGACAGAUGGUAAUGUCAGAGUUUGACACAGCUCUACAGGGGGUGCUGGAUUCUGAUUGGAGAGACGCAUUCCAUCAAAUGCAGGGGGCAGAACUUGCCAGAAAAGUGUCUACAGCCCACCUGGUAGGAAAACAGAAAGUGCACAUACCUGCUUCAGCUGUUGCCACGGUUUAUGCCAGGGGGCUCAGGAAGUCGCUGCGUGGGGACUCCAGCAUGCUGCUAGAGCCAGGUUGUUGUUCAAGUUAGCCUGGAAGCCACAGUGCCUACAAGCUUUUGAGCUCUUAAAAGAGAAGCUGACCAGCGCCCCCACGCUUGGCUACGCAGACUUUGAUUCCCCUUUUGUGCUAGAGACAGAUGCUAGCAUUCAAGGUCUAGGUGCAGUCCUGUACCAGGACCACGGCGGGAAGCGAAAAGUCAUCGCUUAUGCAAGCCGGAGGCUCAGAGGGGCUGAGAGGAAUGACCAAAAUUACAGCAGUAUGAAGUUGGAACUCCUUGCUCUAAAGUGGGCGGUCACUGAAAAGUUUAGGAGUUAUCUUCUAGGAUCCAAAUUCACCAUCAUCACCGAUAAUAACCCUCUGUGUCAUCUUUCUACUGCCAAUUUAGGGGCUAUUCAACAGCGGUGGGUUGGUCAGCUGGCUGUAUUCGAUUUUGAUGUGAAAUAUCGCCCUGGUAGGUGCAAUUCUGCGGCUGAUGCACUCUCCCGGAAACCAGCAGCCGAUGAGCCAGAACCUGAGAGUGAGGAGGCAGAGUAUGAUGGGAAUUUGCAGCUCUGCUACACAUAUAUGAAAGUUAUCCUCAAUGGCAGGUAUGAAAAAUUACUUGCGGGGAAGAAGUGGUCCGCCAGGAGAUGCGCCUCCUUAUGAUAUAAGAUGCUGCGCAUCUCUCUCCCCUUCUUUGGUGCGCGCGUCCUGAGCCCGGAUGUCAAGUUGUUGUUUUUUACCGUGGCUGUGUGUCAGGGUUGGUGAUGAAGAUGCGACCCCCGGUCGGCCUUCCGACCCCACUUUGGGAACCACUGGGCUUAGAGAUACACUCGCAAAAGUAAUGCGCCAUUCGGACGGGGAGGGGGGCUGUUAUAAUGGUUGAACUGAAUCUGUCAGGAGACUUUGACUUUCUCACUGAAGAUACCGAGGUCUAAAUGAACUGUACUGUUCAGAGGGAGCGCCAUCGGGAAAAAGGGGGAGCGUGUUUCUUGCUACAGGACUGCUUUGAAAUAAUGACGACGAAGAGAUGCUGCCCCAGUGCGUAGGGCGACCUUCUGUGAAAGUCCAUUUCUAUCACAUGUGUUUGAUAUCCAGAACGUUCGACAAAAGUUCUGGAGUGAGUAUGCAUCCUGUUAUUGUUAUUGUGGGUUCGAGGUGAUGAGCACUAAAUGACACUCUUUCAGUUGUGUGUUCACUUUAUUAAACUAUGUGCAUGCGCUCAAAAUUUGUUAUCUUUUUGUUUAGCAAACGUGUGCAAUAUACUUCCAGAAUUCUGUAUUCCAUCUGAUUUUUCUAUAUUCUAGUUAGUAAUAAAUACUUAAUCUCAAACGAGUUUAUGAUACUUUGGAUUUCUCACAAGGCCUUAAUCCACAAAUUUCCACCACAGUGCUUUUGCUAUUAAGUCAGUCCUUUUGCAUGCAGCUGGUCAGGUUUUCGGACGACGACGGAGACACGUCGGUGUGCACGGAACAAGUGUCAGGAUCCCGGGAGCAUCGUCUCUGUCUCGGGACCGUUGUAACAGGGCAGCAUGGAGAGAAGUUCGGACAAUUGGAAUUGGCUGCAGCAUAGUUGUUACUUACGUUGUUUCAAUUGAUUCCGUCUGAUUACUUUGAGUCUGCUUGUUCGAGGCUAUUUUAAUGUUUUUUUACUGACUUCUAACUUCUAACCUUCCACUCUUCAGUUUUUGCUACUGUUACGGCCAGCUUGUUUCGACCGUACAUAAAGAAAACAAGUACAAUGUAAUUACUUGCAAGAGUUUAAUUAUUCCUUCAGAAUAACGGUAACAAAACAAAGUCUAGGUUCAAAACAAAGGGACAAAUCAUAAGCCAAAUGGGGAGAGAAAAGAUUGGUAUGAGUUGGGUAACUAAACAAAGGUAGGCCAAAGUGACUUCUCCAGAGGCAGUCGCUCCCCCGGAGGAAAGGCUGUGGAGAGGGGAAAUCCAGAGUUUUAUCCUCUCCAUAAUUAAGAGGCAAUCAGGGAACAGGGGUGUGCAAUCUCCCACGCUCUCCCUGGAAGACACCGCCACCAGCAGAUUAAGGGCGGGGUCGUAACAAUCUCCAAAACUGAUUUGGGGGUGGUGUGCCUCUCCUGCAUUACCAUUGGCUCGGGCCGGGUCUGUACUUAAUGGUGAAAUGAAAGUCAGAAAGUUGAGCCGCCCACCGCUGCUCGAGGGCACCCAAUUUAGCCGUGGAUAGAUAACUUAAAGGGUUAUUGUCCGUAUACACCACACACUUCUGACCCAGGAGAUAUUCCCUGAAUUUCUCGGUCAUGGCCCACUUGAGCGCCAAGAACUCCAACUUCAUGGAACUGUAAUUUGUCAUAUUUCGUUCCGUUGGCUUCAAUCCUCUGCUGGCGUAGGCCACUGGUCUCACCUUACCAUUCUGUUCCUGCGAAAGCACUGCCCCAAGACCACUGUAGCUGGCAUCGACUUCCAGGAUGAAGGGCCGGGAGAAGUCAGCAUAAUUUAGCACUGGCGCAGAUACCAAUCUUGCUCUCAGAUCAUGGAAACUCCUCGCGCAUUUGUGCGGUGGCAACAUGACAUCAUUGAAAUACAUGACCCACAUGUUUGUCUUAAGUGUCCAAUAUAACUUUGUGUUACUAAUUUUCUAUGCAUUCUCACCCAGACUCUUCAAGAGAAGGCCCUUGUUUAUGCCGCUGUUGUCUUCUAGCUGUUCCUCAACGUAAUGCACCCGUCGGAGAACUGUCUGGACUAUCUGGAACCGGAACAAUGACUAACCUCGCCUCAUAAUGAGGCGGUGACCUCGUAUUU